rnacentral:lncRNA from 10 species
AGCAUUGUUUUAAUGCUUUGAUGAAGCUCAGCACGCUGCCGAAAUCUCGGCAGUAUUUUUUCUUUUCUUUUUGCAUGUGAGAGAAAGGACAACAAAUUGCAGUUUUAUCCAUUUGUAUUAUUUCUUUAGAAAACUCAACACUCUUUUUGUUGGAGGUGGGGAAAUGAGAAGGUGAUGUUUUGUUUUGCUUUUUUUCCUAUUUUUUUUUUUUAAAGGAGGAGAAGAUGACAGUGUUCUCCCUAAGGAUGAAGUUUGACUUUUGAAACAUAUCACAUGCUUAAAGCACAUUUGAGCUCCUGCAUGAACAGUAAGCUAGCAGAUGGUAGAAAUAUUCUUUAUUAAUUCAAAAAAUAUUUACUGCGGACCUACAAUGUGCCAAGCAUGUCUCCUGACACUGGGGAUAAGCAGUGAACAACAACAAAAAGACAAACUUCUUCCACCCUGAGGCGUAUGUUCUCGGUCUUUGUGGGAAGAAACAAAUCACAAAAGCAAUUAAGAGAGCUCAAACAAUGGGUUACUCUCAUCUGGAUUAUUGUAGUCACCUUGUCACUGGUAUCUCUGCUUUCUCCUAACCCCCAUCUAAUCUCCAAAAAAU